CGGGAAGAGCUCAAAUUUGAAAUCUGGCGGCUUUGCCGUCCGAGUUGUAUUCUGGAGAAGCGUUUUCCGCGCCGGACCGUGUACAAGUCCCUUGGAACAGGGCGUCAUAGAGGGUGAGAAUCCCGUCUUUGACACGGACUGCCGGUGCUCUGUGAUGCGCUCUCGAA
rnacentral:rRNA from 1 species